AGCCUUGCUUUCCGAGGGCGGCGUGCAGCCACAGUGCCCGCUGCGGGUGCUGGGGAAUGGCGCCUUACAGGCUGCCCACCUGCCUCCUCAGGGUGGAAGGCGGGGCUUGGGUGUGAGCGUGCUGAAUCAGAACUUUCCUGGAAAGUCGCCACUUGGUGUGGUCAGAGGAUCACUGAAGUAACUCCCAGCCACUCUCUUUUACAGAGCCCACAAAGCGUGGACGGCCACCCAGCCUUCCCAGUUUACAUGAUCAUGGGGAGAGCCUGUCAAAAGGUGAGCAUGACACAGCAACCCUGCUAGUUGCCCAAUCCUCGUCCUCGUGUGCUAGACAUCUCUCAAAUCUCUCCCCCUACCUUCUUUCUUUCCUCGCUGCUAGUGAUUUAGUUUCUUGUUUGGACUAAUGCAGCACCCUCCUUACUGUCCCUCUCCUCCUAUCAUCUAUCUUGUCCCCUUCUCAUCUGUCUUCCUCCAUACCUGAGGAAGUCAGAGAGAUCUUUUCUUUCCUUUUCUUGAGACAGGGUCUUGCUCUGUUGCCCAGGCUGGAGUACAGGGCAUGAUCAGAACUCACUGCAGCCUCAAACUCCUGUGCUCAAGCAGUCCUCCUGCCUUGGCCUCCCGAAUAGCUGGGACUACAGGCAUGUGCCACCAUGACAGGGUCUCCCUAUGUUGCCCAGGCUGGUCUCCAACUCCUGGGCUCAAGGGAUCCUCCUGCCUUGGCCUCCCAAAGUGCUAGGAUUAUAGGCAUGAGCUACUGUGCCAGGCCAUGGUCGGCUAUUUAAACUUUUUUUUUUUUUUUGGUUGUUGUUGUUGUUUGUUGUUGUAGAGACAGGGUUUUGCUAUAUUGCGGUUUUGCUAUAUUGCCUAGGCUGGUCUUGUCUUGAACCCCUAGGCGAAAAUGAUCCUCCCACUUUGGCCUCCCAAAGUGUUGGGAAAACAAGCAUGAGCCACUGUGCCCAGGCUGGAGAGAGCUUUCUAAUGCCACACAUCCCAGCACAUCACUCUGCUAAUGAAGUCCAGGUAGGGCUCACCAUUGCCCUCAGGAUAAAUGUUAGCCUGGCACCAUGUUCUUUUCCAUGUGCAGUCUCUGGCUGCAUCUUCUUUUUCUACCCUACUCUCUAACACAUCCACUGCCACACUGAAUUAGUUUUCUGAAAUGCCAUUCCCUUUUUGGCCUCUUGGCCUUUCCACUGGCGACAUUCUUUGUCCUGUCACCUCUGUUCCCUAUCUCUGCCUGGCUGAUUCUUACUACUCUACAGAAAUGAUUCCAGCUCCUCUGUGAAGCCCUUCCUGAUCUCUUGUCAAACGGGAGACCUGAUCACUCUGCUACGUGCUUACCAACAACUGCACAGAGCCUGUGCUUAAGAUGGCAGGAUCGCAAGACAGAGCAACUGGAGCAAGUCCUCAUUAAGAAGAGCCGCCCGAUGCAUUUGGACUGCGAUGUGUUACGCCCAUGAGAUUUCAGGGUUAAUUUGUUACCUGGCCGUGGCCUAUCCUCUUCCAGCAGAUACAGAGGCUACUGCAGUUUGCAACUUUGCAGAUACCAGCAGAGGAAGAAAAACCUGGGAGACUGCUGCUAACCUAAUGUGGAGACUUGACUUAAACUUCAGCCAGACAAAGGCGGAAUCUUAAUAUGGAGGGGCCUGGCUCUGCAGGGAGGUCACCUGGGCUGGCUGGAUUUCAAUCCAGUUACACAGCAAAAAAGUUACAACCCAAGCUUUGGCGAUGCUGAGCCUUCUACUCUCAGGGAUUCCAAAGCAUUUGAUAAACUCUUUCUUUGUUCCAUUGUUUACUGACUUCCUAGUGCUUGUCUUGUUCUGCAGUUAUUUAUUUAUUUUUAUUUAUUAGUUUUUACUUAUGAUCUACCCCUCUCUCCCAUCUCCCCGCAACCUGAAGGUAAGGUGCAGGAAGUUAUGGCCUUUGCUUUGUAUAUAAGUGACUGGAGCAGAAUCCACUUCUGCUGAGAAGCUCUGGAUGACCACGGAUAAGCAGGAAGGCAUGUGACAUAUUGGCAAGUGAGUCAGACAGAAAGAGAGACGUGGGAUCGAGUCCUGGCAUUGCCCUUUCUAGCUAUUGUGUCCUUGGACAGGUAAUUUAGCUUCCCUGAGUCUGUUUUCUCAUCUGAAAAAUGAAGAUAGUAAUAAUUAUCCUCGUGGGGCUAUUGAAAAAGUUAAAAUAAUACAAGCAAAGCAUUUAACAUAGG
rnacentral:lncRNA from 1 species